CUUUGAAAUUAUUGUUCAUAAUAUAUAUGAAUGUACAUUUGUAUUAAUAAAACCUAUACUAUUUUUUAACAGUUAAGAACUUACAUAAUUAUGUACAUUAUUUGCAAAAUCAAAAAAAGUUUAUAGUAGAUGUAUAUUCAGGUAAUUAAUAAAUAAAAAAGUAAAUCCAAAAAUGAUAAUUGAAAAAAACUAGAGGCUCUCAAGAGCCUGUGUCGCUCACCUUGGUCUAUGUGCAUAUUAAACAAUGGACACAGAUAAAUUCAUGACAUAAUUGUGUUUUGGUGAUCAUGUUGUGUUUGUAGAUCUUACUUUACUGAACAUUCUUGUUGCUACAAUUAUCUCUAUCAAUAAUGAACUUGGCCCAGUAAUUACAGUGGAAAAUAUUUUCUAAAAAUUUACAAAAAUUUAUGAAAAUGCUAAAAAUUAACUAUAAAGGGCAAUAACUCCUUAAGGGGUCAAUUGACUAUUUUGGUCAUGAAAAACUUAUUUGUAGAUCUUGUUUUGCUGAACAUUAUUGCUGUUUACAGUUUAUCUCUAUCUAUAAUAAUAUUCAAGAUAAUAACAAAAAAACGGCAAAAUUUCCUUAAAAUUACCAAUUCAGGGCAGUAACCUAACAACGGGUUGUCCGAUCUCCAGUGAAAAUAUCAGGGCAGAUAGAUAGACCUGAUACACAAUUUAACCCUGUCAGAUUUUCAAAAAUGCUUCGGUUUUUGAGUUAUAAGCCAAAAACUGCAUUUUACCCCUAUGUUCUAUUUUUAGCCGUGGCAGCCAUUUUGGUUGGAUGGCCGGGUCACCGGACACAUUUUUUAAAAUUAGAUACCCCAAAGAUGAUUGUGGCCAAGUUUGGAUUAAUUUGGCCCAGUAGUUUCAGAGGAGAAGAUUUUUGUAAAAGAUUUCUAAGAUUUACAAAAAAUGGUUAAAAAUUGACUAUAAAGGUCAAUAACUCCUAAAGGGGUCAACUGACCAUUUUGGUCAUGUUGACUUAUUUGUAAAUCUAACUUUGCUGAACAUUAUUGCUGUUUACAGUUUAUCUCUAUCUAUAAUAAUAUUCAAGAUAAUAACCAAAAACAGCAAAAAUUCCCUAAAAUUACCAAUUCAGGGGCAGCAACCCAACAACGGGUUGUCGGAUUCAUCUGAAAAUUUGAGGGCAGAAAGAAAUUGACCUGAUAAACAAUUUUACCCCUGUCAGAUUUGCUCUAAAUGCUUUGGUUUUUGAGUUAUAAGCCAAAAAACUGCAUUUUACCCCUAUGUUCUAUUUUUAGCCAUGGCGGCCAUCUUGGUUGGUUGGCCGAGUCACGCCACACAUUUUUUAAACUAUAUACCCCAAUGACGAUUGUGGCCAAGUUUGGUUUAAUUUGGCCUAGUUGUUUCAGAGGAGAAGAUUUUUGUAAAAGAUUACUAAGAUUUACUAAAAAAUGGUUAAAAUUUGACUAUAAAGGGCAAUAACUCCUAAAGGGGUCAACUGACCAUUUCCUUCCUGUUGACGUAUUUGUAAAUCUUACUUUGCUGAACAUUAUUGCUGUUUACAGUUUAUCUCUAUCUAUAAUAAUAUUCUAGAUGCUCCGCAGGGCGCAGCUUUAUACGACGCAGAGGUUGAACCCUGAACGGUUGGGGCAAGUAUGGACACAACAUUCAAGCUGGAUUCAGCUCUAAAUUUGGAUUGUGAUUGAAUAGUUGAAUGAACUAAAGAAUGAUUUUUUUUUUUGCCUUUGAGCAAUUCACUAUGCUGUUGAAUAUUAAUCCUCUCAAAAAAAUGUUUUCUUUUUAUUUAUGAAAUCUGAAUUGAGAAAAAUUUUACCCCCCCCCCAUUUUUUUUUCACAUCCCCCUUUCCCUUUUCCAAAACUGAUCUCAAUUCAAAUUUCUAAUGGAGUUUGCAACAAUAACUACUCAUUUAAAUACAUCA
rnacentral:lncRNA from 1 species